rnacentral:rRNA from 1 species
GACGAACGCUGGCGGCGUGCUUAACACAUGCAAGUCGAACGGAAAGGCCCUGCUUUUGUGGGGUGCUCGAGUGGCGAACGGGUGAGUAACACGUGAGUAACCUGCCCUUGACUUUGGGAUAACUUCAGGAAACUGGGGCUAAUACCGGAUAGGAGCUCCUGCUGCAUGGUGGGGGUUGGAAAGUUUCGGCGGUUGGGGAUGGACUCGCGGCUUAUCAGCUUGUUGGUGGGGUAGUGGCUUACCAAGGCUUUGACGGGUAGCCGGGCUGGGAGGGUGACCGGCCACAUUGGGACUGAGAUACGGCCCAGACUCCUACGGGAGGCAGCAGUGGGGAAUAUUGCACAAUGGGCGGAAGCCUGGUGCAGCAACGCCGCGUGCGGGAUGACGGCCUGCGGGUUGUAAACCGCUUUCGCCUGUGACGAAGCGUGAGUGACGGUAAUGGGUAAAGAAGCACCGGCUAACUACGUG